rnacentral:rRNA from 1 species
GAGUAACACGUAACUAACCUACCCUCGAGUGGGGAAUAACUUCGGGAAACCGAGGCUAAUACCGCAUAACAUCUUCUGGUUGAGAUACCGGUUGAUCAAAGCAGCAAUGGGCUUGAGGAGGGGGUCGCGGCUGAUUAGCUAGUUGGUGAGGUAACGGCUCACCAAGGCGAUGAUCAGUAGCCGGCCUGAGAGGGCGCACGGCCACACUGGAACUGAAACACGGUCCAGACUCCUACGGGAGGCAGCAGUGGGGAAUUUUGCGCAAUGGGGGAAACCCUGACGCAGCAACGCCGCGUGGAGGAUGAAGUCCCUUGGGACGUAAACUCCUUUCGAUCGGGACGAUUAUGACGGUACCGGAAGAAGAAGCCCCGGCUAACUUCGUGCCAGCAGCCGCGGUAAUACGAGGGGGACAAGCGUUGUUCGGAAUUAUUGGGCGUAAAGGGCGCGUAGGCGGUGCGGUAGGUCUGAUGUGAAAUCUCCGGGCUCAACUCGGAGCUUGCAUCAGACACUGCCGUGCUGGAGUGUGGGAGAGGUGCGUGGAAUUCCCGGUGUAGCGGUGAAAUGC